UGGCAGUGAUGACUAUCUUAAGACACCUUUGGAAUAACUGUGAAAUAAUUCCCUCCCCCUGAGCCAU
rnacentral:snoRNA from 1 species